GACGAACGCUGGCGGCGUGCUUAACACAUGCAAGUCGAACGGUAAGGCCCUUCGGGGUACACGAGUGGCGAACGGGUGAGUAACACGUGGGUGAUCUGCCCUGCACUUCGGGAUAAGCCUGGGAAACUGGGUCUAAUACCGGAUAGGACCACUGCCUGCAUGGGUGGUGGUGGAAAGCUUUUGCGGUGUGGGAUGGGCCCGCGGCCUAGCAGCUUGUUGGUGGGGUGAUGGCCUACCACGGCGACGACGGGUAGCCGGCCUGAGAGGGUGACCGGCCACACUGGGACUGAGAUACGGCCCAGACUCCUACGGGAGGCAGCAGUGGGGAAUAUUGCACAAUGGGCGCAAGCCUGACGCAGCGACGCCGCGUGAGGGAUGACGGCCUUCGGGUUGUAAACCUCUUUCAGCACCGACGAAGCGCAAGUGACGGUAGGUGCAGAAGAAGGACCGGCCAACUACGUGCCAGCAGCCGCAGUAA
rnacentral:rRNA from 1 species